rnacentral:ncRNA from 1 species
AUGGGAGAAAAUUAGUAAAUCUUAGUAUGCCUGUAGGUAAACAGUAUUUUGCUGCCAUGGAGGGCAGCAAAAGUCUUAAUGUGACAUGGAUGUCACAUUUAAGACGUAUACGUCACCCUAUUCAAAGAACUAAAUCAGGCAUACUUAGAUAUACUUAUUUUCGUAC